GUGAGGAAUAUUGGUCAAUGGGCGCAAGCCUGAACCAGCCAUGCCGCGUGCAGGAAGACGGUCCUAUGGAUUGUAAACUGCUUUUAUUUGGGAAUAAACCUCCUUACGUGUAGGGAGCUGAAGGUACCAAAUGAAUAAGCACCGGCUAACUCCGUGCCAGCAGCCGCGGUAAUACGGAGGGUGCAAGCGUUAUCCGGAAUCAUUGGGUUUAAAGGGUCCGCAGGCGGUCAUAUAAGUCAGUGGUGAAAGCCUACAGCUCAACUGUAGAACUGCCAUUGAUACUGUAUGACUUGAAUUCGAUCGAAGUGGGCGGAAUGUGACAUGUAGCGGUGAAAUGCUUAGAUAUGUCACAGAACACCGAUAGCGAAGGCAGCUCACUAGGUCUGGAUUGACGCUCAGGGACGAAAGCGUGGGGAGCAAACAGGAUUAGAUACCCCAGUAGUCC
rnacentral:rRNA from 1 species